UACGAACGCUGGCGGCGUGCUUAACACAUGCAAGUCGAACGAAGAGCGAUGGAAGCUUGCUUCUAUCAAUCUUAGUGGCGAACGGGUGAGUAACGCGUAAUCAACCUGCCCUUCAGAGGGGGACAACAGUUGGAAACGACUGCUAAUACCGCAUACGAUCUGACCUCGGCAUCGAGGAUAGAUGAAAGGUGGCCUCUACAUGUAAGCUAUCACUGAAGGAGGGGAUUGCGUCUGAUUAGCUAGUUGGAGGGGUAACGGCCCACCAAGGCGAUGAUCAGUAGCCGGUCUGAGAGGAUGAACGGCCACAUUGGGACUGAGACACGGCCCAGACUCCUACGGGAGGAAGCAGUGGGGAAUCUUCCGCAAUGGACGAAAGUCUGACGGAGCAACGCCGCGUGAGAGAUGACGGCCUUCGGGUUGUAAAGCUCUGUUAAUCGGGACGAAAGGCAUUUUUGCGAAUAGGGAGAAGGAUUGACGGUACCGGAAUAGAAAGCCACGGCUAACUACGUG
rnacentral:rRNA from 1 species